UACGUAGGCAGCAAGCGUUGUUCGGAGUUACUGGGCGUAAAGAGUGCGUAGGCGGUCCUGUAAGUUUGGUGUGAAAUCUCCCGGCUCAACUGGGAGGGUGCGCCGAAGACUGCAGGGCUUGAGUAUGGGAGAGGUAAGCGGAAUUCCUGGUGUAGCGGUGAAAUGCGUAGAUAUCAGGAGGAACACCUGUGGUGUAGACAGCUUACUGGACCAUAACUGACGCUGAGGCACGAAGGCGUGGGUAGCAAACAGG
rnacentral:rRNA from 1 species